rnacentral:rRNA from 1 species
UGACGCAGCAACGCCGCGUGAGUGAGGAAGGUUUUCGGACCGUAAAGCUCUGUCGAGCGGGAAGAAAUGCAUAGUGGCUAAUAUCCAUUAUGCUUGACGGUACCGCUAAAGGAAGCACCGGCUAACUCCGUGCCAGCAGCCGCGGUAAU